rnacentral:piRNA from 1 species
UUAGUUCUUCUAUCUGGAAGUAGGUGUCCUC